CCUACGGGGGGCUGCAGUGGGGAAUUUUGGACAAUGGGGGCAACCCUGAUCCAGCCAUUCCGCGUGAGUGAAGAAGGCCUUCGGGUUGUAAAGCUCUUUUGUCCGGAGCGAAACGGGCGGCCCUAAUACGGUCGUCUACUGACGGUACCGGAAGAAUAAGCACCGGCUAACUACGUGCCAGCAGCCGCGGUAAUACGUAGGGUGCUAGCUGUGAUCGGAGUUACUGGGCGUGAAGCUGGAAGCGGCAUGUGAAAUCCCCGGGAUCAACCUGGGAAUGGCAUUUGGGACUGCAAGGCUGGAGUGUGGCAGAGGGGACUAGAAUUCCUGGUGUAGCAGUGAAAUGCGUAGAUAUCAGGAGGAAUACCGAUGGCGAAGGCAGGUCCCUGGGUUAACACUGACGCUCAUGCACGAAAGCGUGGGGAGCAAACAGGAUUAGAUACCCGGGUAGUC
rnacentral:rRNA from 1 species